rnacentral:rRNA from 1 species
GAUGAACGCUGGCGGCGUGCUUAACACAUGCAAGUCGAACGAUGACCCCGUGCUUGCACGGGUGAUUAGUGGCGAACGGGUGAGUAACACGUGAGUAACCUGCCCCCGACUUUGGGAUAAGCCCGGGAAACUGGGUCUAAUACCGGAUAUGACUUCUUACCGCAUGGUGGGUUGUUGAAAGAUUUAUCGGUGGGGGAUGGACUCGCGGCCUAUCAGCUUGUUGGUGAGGUAAUGGCUCACCAAGGCGACGACGGGUAGCCGGCCUGAGAGGGUGACCGGCCACACUGGGACUGAGACACGGCCCAGACUCCUACGGGAGGCAGCAGUGGGGAAUAUUGCACAAUAGGCGAAAGCCUGAUGCAGCGACGCCGCGUGAGGGAUGACGGCCUUCGGGUUGUAAACCUCUUUCAGUAGGGAAGAAGCGAAAGUGACGGUACCUGCAGAAGAAGCGCCGGCUAACUACGUG